GGAAAUUAAGGGGGAAAAAUGUGACACCAUUGCACUGCUGAGAAACCUGGUGGUCUUGUCUUCCAUCUUUAGCAAGUAGAAGAUGGGAGUGGUUGGAUUCCAGAACACACUCAAAAACAGGCUUGCUGAAGGGCCAGCGUGGAUGGCAAUCAAGUCAGCUUGCUUCCACAACCAUUCCAGUGGGAGCGUCAUGGGAGUUGUUUAACAAGAUUUCUGUUUGAUCACUGAUCCUAAGUUUAGCAAAACACCAUAAUCAUGUAGAAAAGAUUCUAUUCCUCAGAAAGAGGCCGAUUCUCCCGUGCCCUCCCUGUUCUGUAACGCUGUUGUGAUGACUGGACUGUUCCAAGACGCUGAUUCCAUUCAGGGUUCAAAUGGCCCAGAGAAGCAAGAAGACCAUAGCUACAGAUGCAAUGAGGUAGAGGGUUCAGUCUCUGUGCCCCUAGCAUAGUAUUCUGGAAUGUUCCCACACCAUCUUAGUAGCCAUUGCUACAGUGAAUGAUUUUACAAUGGUAAGCAGCACUAAGACUUAGGCAGUGGUAAAUGUUACAGAUGUUAUCUUGCUUAAGGUGCUCAAGAAGUCAGUGCGGAAGGCAUUAUCUGCCACUUGUUACAGAUGGGAGACAGUAAGGCUGACAGAAGCAGGUCACUCCAUCAAGGAGACUCAGGGAGUAAGCUGUCAGGGUCAUCUGGAUAACAUAAAUGCCAGAAUUCAAAAUCAACUUCAACCAAAGCUAACCAUUUUUGUUCACAUUGCAGGAUGCACCCAUUCCAGAAAAAGGAAGGAAAGACUAAAAGAAACACCUCAUAUGGCUGACAAAACCCAUAAGGCACUGGGUAAGGCCUAUACAUCCGCAUAUCAGCCUGUAAAAAUGGGUAAGUUGUUUUCUUUUGGUGGGGUUCCCUUCUGUUCACAAGAUAAUGCAUUGUGAACUUGAUACAAGGUCAAGGGGAGCAACAAUGAGCAAUGGGCUCAGGAAAUAAGCCUGACCAUACCAGCCUGAUCAGUGUGUACCAGCGGACCAGUAUAAACCAGCCUCACCAGUAUGUACCAGCCUGACCAGUAUGUACCAGCCUGACCAGUGUGUACCAGCCCGACCAGUACAUUCUAACCUCACCAGUGUAUACCAGUCUGACAAGUGACCAGUGCAUACUAGCCUGACCAGUGCAUGCCAGCCUCACGAGUGUAUACCAGCUUCACCAGUGUAUCUCAAGGGUGAUGUGGCCUGUUCAAUCCUGUGUUCACUAAUGAGACUACAUGGUCUCUGCAGCUUUUCUCUACACCUUCCAGGAACCCUGGAAUUCAAGAGGAAAAUGGAGCUAUAGAAUCAUAGGUAAUUAGUAUGUGUGAAAGGGGGUUACAAUUCAUAAUCCAAAAACUCAAAUAUCAAAGUGGUUAGAAGAGACCCUCUCGUGACUGUAGUUCAUCUUCUCCAAGACAGGAUCCAGGCACCAAUAUUCAACAUGAUCCUAGGCUGUUAUGGGGAAAAAAAAAAGAUUUAAAAAGCAACAACAACUGAGACCAACUUUUGGAAGAAAAUCCAGUAGAUCAGGGUAACUAGAGAGGAAGGCUGAAGAGUGACUUACUGAGAUAGCAAGCCAACCAAGUAAUGUGUCAAAAACAGAUGGGGAUGGGGAUGGGGAAAGCAAAGAGGAAACCCAAGAACUCUGGGAGAGACUGGUGCAGAAGCCUACGGUGGAAAGCUACAGGAGGGUAGGGAGCCUGUGAGAGGGUAGGGGAUCUGUGGGAGGGUAGGGGGUCUGUGGGGGGAGGUACGAGGCCUAUGGGAGGGUAGGAAGUCUGAGAGAGAGUAUGGAGUCUGUGGGAGAGUAGGAAGUCUGAGGGAGGGUAGGGGGUCUGUGGGGAGGAAAAACUUGAAGCUGUGAGAUUUGAAAAGUUCUUCCUCAAAGACUAGGACAGUGAAGAUUCUCAGGCCAGAAGGGAAUUCUCAGCACUGAGCAGAGGAUAGGGAAAACAUCUGCUGAGGUACUGGGAACGCGAAGAACAGCUCUCUCCCUGGACUCUACGCAAAACUGAAGAUCAGCCUGAUUUAAAAGAAAGGAGAAUGAGAGAGCCACAGACUCCACUCAGCGAGCCCAGGGCAGAUGACAACAGAGCCAUCUCUCAAAGUGCUGAAGGAAAGAGAUCCAGAGCCUAGAUCCCAUAAGCGAAGGCUGAAACUUUAACUACAAUACCAUAGAAAGCAUUUUCUAUGGCACACACACAAAGAAAAUCAAACUCCAGGCUGGGGAUUGGAGGUACAUCCCAGUGAACAGAGAGUUUGCCUAGCAGGUCCCAACCUCAGAAUUGCAUAAACUAUGUACAAUCUCAGCUCUGUAACCCCAGGAUUCAGGUCGUGGAGAUGGGAAAAUAAUAGGUUCAAGGUUAUCCUUGGCUAUAUAGUGAGUUUACAGUGAGUACAAACAAACAAACAAACAAACCCGAAGCAGACCACUUACCACUCUCACACUCUCAGAAUCCCUGAGGACCUGUUCAUCAGGAAGAACAACACACAGGGAGACAUGGCCAAGGGGGCUGGGUGGGGUGAGGGGGAACUGUUAAAUAGAAAGUUAAGUCCUUUCUGGAAUCAAUUCAGGUAACUUUGACAAGGAGAAGAGGGGGGAGUCAAAGAGAGGCAGAGACUAAAACACACCAAAAUGUCUGAUUUUUGUUGGGGGUUACUAUGGAAAUGAAAGAAGAUAUAUAUUAAAAUACUUCCAUUGAUAGGAGCAAACGCAUGUGUUUGUGUGUGUGCAUGUGUGUGUGCAAUGUGAGUGUAUGUUUGUUUGUAUGUGUCUAUGUGUAUGCUGUGGAUGUUCAGUGUGCAUGUGUCUGUGUAUCUCUGUGUCUAUGUGUGCAUAUGGCUGUCUCUGUGUGUGUGCAGUGUGCAUGUAUGUGUGUGUCUGUCUGUAUGUGUCUAUUGUGUGUUGUGUAUUGCAGUAUGCAUGUGUCUAUUUCUGUCUGUGUCUAUGUGUGUGCUGGGUGUGCUUAUGUUUGUUUGUGUGUUUGAAGUGUACAUGUGUGUGUAUCUGUAUGUGUCUAUGUGUGUGCUAUGUGUGUAUAUGCAGUGUACAUGUAUGUUUGUCUGUAUCUUUCUGUGUGUGUGUGUGUAGUGUGCAUGUGUGUCUUUCUGUCUAUCUGUGUUUCUGCGUGUGUCUGUGUGUGUCGUUGGGGGGCUUGGAGGUAUAUGUGGGUGGGUAUAUGUCUGUGUGUGUGCCUGUCUGUAUGUCUGUCUAUGCCUCUGUGUGUAUGUGUCUGACUGUGUGUAUGUGUGUGUGUUUGUGUUUGUAUGUGUGUUGUGUAUGUGUGUGCGUGUGUGUGUCUGUGUGCAUGUGUGCAGGUUAGUGUUUGUUGUCAGCUCCAUAUAAGCUAAAUUCACUUGAGAGUCUCAAUGAGAAGUUUUCUCCAUCAGUUGGCCUGGGGUGUCAUUAGCCCUAGAAAGCUGAGUAUUAAGCAUAUGUAUAUCUGUUCUCUGCUCUUGACUGGAUAUUAUGUGAUUCGCCACUUCAGGUUUCUGCCUUGACUUCCCCAAAAUGACAGGCUGUGACCUGAAAUUAACCAUUUCCAUCACCCAUCUUCAGGAAGUUGCAAAUUAAACGGACAGAAUACUGAAGUGUGCCUUCUGAGUGGCUGAAAUCCUGAAUGAUAACAAUGCUGAGUGUGGGUGAGGCUGUGGAGUGGCAUGAUCCCUCAACAAGAGUGCAAGAUGGUGCACACACUUUGCAAAGGCAACUGACAGUCUCUGAUAAAAUAAAACACUCUCACCACAUGGUCCAGCAAUUUUCUGUGAUUUGCCCAAAAAGAGUUGAAAACGUAUAUCCACACAGAAAUACGGGCCCAAGUUCCGAGAGCAGCUUUCCUCCUAACCCUGCUGGCUUUGUGUGCUUCCACUGCUGUGCUAAACACUAACAGCAGGCAACUCAGGGGAAGAAGGGGAUUAUUUUGGUUACAGCUUGCAGGCCACCAUUGAGGGCAGUCAAGGCAGGUUCUCAAACAGGACCCAUGAGGAAACAGCGCUUACUGCCUUGCUCUCUGUGGCCUACUUUCUCAUAUAACCAGGACCAACUGCCCAGGGUGGCACCACCCAUACUGGUCUGGACCCUCCCACACCAGUCAUUAAUCAAGACAAUGCCCCCACAGACUUGCCUACAAAGUUAGUCUGGUAGAAGCAAUUCCUCAGUUGAUGUUCCCUCUUCCCAGAUGACCCUAGCUUAUGUCAACUUGACAGAAACAAACAAAAAACAAAACAAACUUCUAACCAGAACAUUUCACCAAUCUGGACACAAGCAAGAUGGCUCUCAGUGGACAAAUGGACAAAUAUGCAGAUGAUAAAUUGUUGUUCAGGAACAAAAAGAAAUAAAUUACCAAGCCAGAUUAAAAAAAAAAAGGAGGAACCUUAAACACAUCUAACAAAGUAAAUGCAACCCGUCUGAGAAGCUAGGGACUCCCAAUGAGUAACUUAAUUCUCAGUGGCUCUGAGGAGUCAGGAAGGGGGUGGGGACGAGUGAGUGUCACACAGAGAUCUGUAGAGCAGGGAAACUAAAUUCUUUGAUACUGUUGUGGGAAUACAUGCCAUUGUAGACAUUUCUCACAGCAUAAAACUGUAAUUCUGACCUCAUAGAAUGAUACAACUAUGCUGACAUCAUAGUGCUGAUACCACAGUAAUACACUAUGAUGUCAUCACACCCCCUCAGUUUAUCAUUGCUAUCAUUCCCCCAACCCCCCGGAGGCAGAGGGGAUGGAAGACACGAGGAGAAUACAGCCCUCUGUAUCAACUAAGCAGGGUUCAUAUGGGCUCAUAGAAACUGAAGCAGCAAGUACCAAGGUAUACUAAAUAAAAGUAAAAUUACAAGCUCUGCAUGUUGGUGUUGUCUUUGAAUCCCAGCACUCAAGAAACAGAGGCAGAAAUUCAAUGUGUAUGUUACAGUACAGCCCAGCUGUGUUCUGGCUCACCAUCAGUCAACCACACAUAGCUACUGGUCCCAUGCUGCUUGGAAGACAUUUACAGAGCCACCUUCAUUUUUGACCAUCUGUGACAACGGUCUGUAAAGUAUUGGUUACCACAUACCUGACAUCUUGUACUCACGCAGGAAGGAUAAGGCCAGUGAGAUGGUUUCACAGGCAAAGUGCCUGCAGAUACCAGAGGACCUCAUC